GGAUGGUGAUUGUUUCAUCUGUAAUCAAGAUGGCAAUUUCAAACUUUAUGUUUUUGGUCUUUUUGUGUCACCAACUGGUGCCCAAUGGAUUUGCCUCUCCAGUUGGGCGUCAUUUUUACCAGACUGAUAUUGAACAAGCACGCUUGGAGAGCAAAGAUGGUCCCUUGUCUGUCCCUUGUGUGAACAGACAAAAUCCAACAUGGCCAGUGGUAGUGAAAUGUAAAAUGGCUGUUGAGAUGUCUUUGCCGAAUGCA